AUUGAACGCUGGCGGCAGGCCUAACACAUGCAAGUCGAACGGUAACAGGAAGCAGCUUGCUGCUUUGCUGACGAGUGGCGGACGGGUGAGUAAUGUCUGGGAAACUGCCCGAUGGAGGGGGAUAACUACUGGAAACGGUAGCUAAUACCGCAUAACGUCGCAAGACCAAAGAGGGGGACCUUAGGGCCUCUUGCCAUCGGAUGUGCCCAGAUGGGAUUAGCUAGUAGGUGGGGUAACGGCUCACCUAGGCGACGAUCCCUAGCUGGUCUGAGAGGAUGACCAGCCACACUGGAACUGAGACACGGUCCAGACUCCUACGGGAGGCAGCAGUGGGGAAUAUUGCACAAUGGGCGCAAGCCUGAUGCAGCCAUGCCGCGUGUAUGAAGAAGGCCUUCGGGUUGUAAAGUACUUUCAGCGGGGAGGAAGGGAGUAAAGUUAAUACCUUUGCUCAUUGACGUUACCCGCAGAAGAAGCACCGGCUAACUCCGUGCCAGCAGCCGCGGUAAUACGGAGGGUGCAAGCGUUAAUCGGAAUUACUGGGCGUAAAGCGCACGCAGGCGGUUUGUUAAGUCAGAUGUGAAAUCCCCGGGCUCAACCUGGGAACUGCAUCUGAUACUGGCAAGCUUGAGUCUCGUAGAGGGGGGUAGAAUUCCAGGUGUAGCGGUGAAAUGCGUAGAGAUCUGGAGGAAUACCGGUGGNNNNNGCGGCCCCCUGGACGAAGACUGACGCUCAGGUGCGAAAGCGUGGGGAGCAAACAGG
rnacentral:rRNA from 1 species